UACGUAAAAUGCAAGCGUUGUCCGGAAUUAUUGGGCGUAAAGAACUCGUAGGCGGUUUGUCGCGUCUGCUGUGAAAACUCAGGGCUUAACCCUGAGCCUGCAGUGAGUACGGGCAGACUAGAGUGUGGUAGGGGAGAUCGGAAUUCCUGGUGUAGCGGUGGAAUGCGCAGAUAUCAGGAGGAACACCGGUGGCGAAGGCGGAUCUCUGGGCCAUAACUGACGCUGAGGAGCGAAAGCAUGGGGAGCGAACAGG
rnacentral:rRNA from 1 species